UAUGUUGCAGAGAAGGAAAGAAGUACUUAAUUACCUUUAAUAAAGCGAGUCUAGAAUGGUGGGAGCUAGAUAUAAAGCAUUAAGGAAGGCGUUCUGGAGCAAUUUGUUAUGAAGAGGCUGCUUAUUAGCAGCAAAUAGGGUGGAACCGCGGGUUAACUCUCGUCCCUAUG
rnacentral:ncRNA from 1 species